rnacentral:rRNA from 1 species
UAGGGAAUCUUCCGCAAUGGGCGAAAGCCUGACGGAGCAACGCCGCGUGAGUGAUGAAGGUCUUCGGAUCGUAAAACUCUGUUAUUAGGUAAGAACAAAUGUGUAAGUAACUAUGCACGUCUUGACGGUACCUAAUCAGAAAGCCACGGCUAACUACGUGCCAGCAGCCGCGGUAAUACGUAGGUGGCAAGCGUUAUCCGGAAUUAUUGGGCGUAAAGCGCGCGUAGGCGGUUUUUUAAGUCUGAUGUGAAAGCCCACGGCUCAACCGUGGAGGGUCCUUGGAAACUGGAAAACUUGAGUGCAGAAGAGGAAAGUGGAAUUCCAUGUGUAGCGGUGAAAUGCGCAGAGAUAUGGAGGAACACCAGUGGCGAAGGCGACUUUCUGGUCUGUAACUGACGCUGAUGUGCGAAAGCGUGGGGAUCAAACAGG